UACGUAGGUGACAAGCGUUGUCCGGAUUUAUUGGGCGCAAAGCGAGCGCAGGCGGUCUUUUAAGUCUGAUGUGAAAGCCCCCGGCUCAACCGGGGAGGGUCAUUGGAAACUGGCAGACUUGAGUGCAGAAGAGGAAGGUAGAAUUCCCGGUGUAGCGGUGAAAUGCGUAGAUAUAUGGAGGAACACCAGUGGCGAAGGCGACUUUCUGGUCUGUAAUUGACGCUGAGGCUCGAAAGCGUGGGGAGCGAACAGG
rnacentral:misc_RNA from 1 species